rnacentral:rRNA from 1 species
CUGGAAUGGGUAAUGACUUAAAUCUAUAUGGCCCCUGGAUUGGACUGCGGCCGAUCAGGCUGUUGGUGAGGUAAUGGCCCACCAAACCUGUAACCGGUGCGGGCUCUAAGAGGAGGAGCCCGGAGAUGGGCACUGAGACAAGGGCCCAGGCCCUAUGGGGCGCAGCAGGCGCGAAACCUCUGCAAUAGGCGAAAGCCUGACAGGGUUACUCUGAGUGAUUUCCGUUAAGGAGAUCUUUUGGCACCUCUAAAAAUGGUGCAGAAUAAGGGGUGGGCAAGUCUGGUGUCAGCCGCCGCGGUAAUACCAGCACCCCGAGUGGUCGGGACGAUUAUUGGGCCUAAAGCAUCCGUAGCCGGUCCUGCAAGUCUUCCGUUAAAUCCAGCUGCUCAACAGAUGGGCUGCGGGAGAUACUACAGGGCUAGGAGGCGGGAGAGGCAAGCGGUACUUUAUGGGUAGGGGUAAAAUCCGCUGAUCCAUAGAAGACCACCAGUGGCGAAGGCGGCUUGCCAGAACGCGCUCGACGGUGAGGGAUGAAAGCUGGGGGAGCAAACCGGAUUAGAUACCCGGGUAGUCCCAGCUGUAAACGAUGCAGACUCGGUGAUGGGUUGGCCUCGCGCCUGCCCAGUGCCGCAGGGAAGCCGUUAAGUCUGCCGCCUGGGGAGUACGGUCGCAAGACUGAAACUUAAAGGAAUUGGCGGGGGAGCACCACAAGGGGUGAAGCCUGCGGUUCAAUUGGACUCAACGCCGGU